ensembl:lncRNA
AUGAUAAAGGCAAUUGAUGAAAACACAUUAAAAAAAAUAUGGAUAACAACUUGGAUUGAUGUUGGUUCGAUUUUUAUUGCAAAUAACUAUAAAACGAAUUGGUCAUUUAUUAGCUCUUUAAUUAAAAUUAACGGUAACAAAUUAAUUUUAGGUUCUUUGAAAAAUAGUAAAAUAAACAAACCAUAUACACUUGCCAAAAAUGUGAAUAGUAUAAAAAGAUGGAAAGCUAUGGGAGAUUUAGGUUUUAUAGUAAACAUAGAUGAUGAAUAUCCAGGGAGUGUUGCCGACGUUGAAUUUACGGAUUAUAAUGAGGUAAGAUAUGAAGUAAAUGUUAGGGGAUCUGAUGAAGUCCCAACUGAUGUAUCUACAAAUGAUCUAACCGACAUUCCAACUGACUUUCCAACAGAUAAUCCAUCCGACAAUCUAAUCGAAAAUUUAACUGAAAAUUUGUCUGACAAUUUAAACGACAGUCCAUCCAACAAUCGAUCUAACAAUCGAUCUAACAAUCGAUCUAACAAUCGAUCUAACAAUCGAUCUAACAAUCGAUACAACAAUCGAUACAACAAUCGAUACAACAAUCGAUACAACAAUUUAUUCGAUAAUCGACCCAACAAUUUGUUCGACAAUCCAUCCGACAAUUCAUUCGACAAUCCAACCGAUGGUUCAACUGACGGUACACCUAAUGUUGAUCCUAAUGGUAACCCAAAUAAAAGUAAACCGAAUAUAAAUACAAAGGUUUUUAUUUUUUCCGAAUUUAUAUCAUCUGUGUUUGCACUUAGGCAUAAAACAUCAACGAAUAUAUUUACUCUGGAUUUCAUUAUGAAACAAAGUUCUAAAUUACAUCCACAUUAUGAUGAAAAUAAAGGUUAUUAUUAUUAUAAACCUUUGGAAAUAAAAAAAGAAAAAACAUUAUAUUUACCAUUUUCGGAUAACGAAAUUCCAAAAUAUAAUGAUAAUAAAUCUUCAUGUAAUUUUGAUGAAAGUUUAAUGCAACGACAGCAUUUAAUACAUCGAUUGGAUAAUAUAUUAAUACAUAUUACUUCUAUUGAAAAAAAUAUAAAAUAUUUAUUAGCAAAUAUUAUAUAUAAAUAUGAUACAGAUAAUACAAUUGCCAAAAAUUAUGUAUACAAAAUGAAUGACUUGGUUAAUGAAUAUAAUAAAGCGAAAGAAGAGUUUAUUUUAUAUUUCCCUCAAUUAAAUAGUAUUUUCCCAUCUGAAUUUAAUAAUAACAAUAAUGGUAAAAAUAAUGGUAAUAAUAGUGAUGGAAAGUUUGAGUUUGAUUUUAAUUACAGCCAUUAUGAUAACUCCAGUUAUUAUAACAAUCACAUGCAUGGUCAUAAUAAUAAUUACAAUAACAAUAAAUAUUUGUACUAUACAGAUUAUUAUUAUAUGUAUUAUAAAAACGUGAAUGAUCAUAUGUUAUAUGGGAACAGUAUAGAAAAUGAGUUUUGUAAGAAAAAUAAACCUAUGCAUAUUUGUGAGUUCAUAAGUAAUAUUAUUGAUUAUCAUUUUAAAAAGAGAAAAAAUUGUAUUGAUUAUUGUUCUUUAUUAAAUAUAUAUGAAAGAAUUUUUUGUAAUUAUCUUAGUUAUAAUGAUUGUUUAUUAUUAUUUAGUCUAUAUAAAAUAGAUGCGGAUGGCUUACAUAAUAAAGAACUUGAUUAUAUAGAUUAUGGAUAUUCCAUGAUACCAAAUGAUUAUAAUUUUUUAAUUAGAAAAAGGAAAAAAAUGUAUCAUGGUUAUAAAGAAACUGAUUUUAAAGAUAUGUGUAGUUAUAGGUAUAAAAAAAAAUGGUAUUGGAAUAUGUUUUAUAUAAUUAUGUUAGCAUUUUUUAUUCCUUUUGUGUUUUUUUUUUAA